GUUGAAACCAACAUGGCUACCUAGGGUUUGCACAGAAUGAGCUUGCUGAUGUUACAGCCUAAAUUUCCACUGUAUGUUUUAUGCUGACUCCCCGACUUUGCAGAAGGGAUCCAUGAAGAAGCAUGAAGAGAUGGUACAAUUCUACACCCCCGGAACCUCAGCAAAAAGGCCAAGGACUCUGCCUCUGCAAGUAAAGAUCUCUUUUGCAAAUUGCCUGCCUCACCAUGGACCCGUUCCAUACUCCUUCCACUGAGUUCUGCCACACCUUGAAGAGCACUUGUCUUCUGCAAGAUGAGACAACUGAGACCUGACAGGAUUAAAUAACUUAACCCUGGCCAAGACGGCCAAAUGGGAACAGCUCUGGUCCACAGUUCCCAGCAAAAGUGAUCCAGAAGCUUUCAACUGCUGACUGGUGUCUUUCUUCAUCCUGGACACAUUAUCUUUUGUGCAGAACUUUACUGCAACCAGCCCCUAAGUAUUGUAUGGUCUCCUCCUGCUCUGAUCCCCAGCCACCAUAUCAAGUAAUGUGAUCAUUAUAUAACCAGAGUUAUUAUACAACUUACUGGACAAGAUGACUUAAUUGUUGUGUCAGUCCAAAUGACCAGGCUAAACUGCAUAUUCUUUAUUCAUCAUUAAAAUGAACAGGAAUUUCCCAACUGUAAAAGUAUUUUCUUGGGUUGACUCAUAAAAUCUGCUCCAGCAAACCCACCCUCUGACACAAUAGUCAGAAACAACAUUUAUUACAUUUCUCAUAGCAAUAAUAAUAUUGUGGGUCAUUCCUCUUCCUUUCGUGGAAUGCUUGCCAAAAAUGUUUUCUUUUUCAUUUGUCUUCUCUGACAUUUUUGCUGUUCAAUGGCAGGCAGGGAAAUUUAAAGUCUUAUCUAUACAGCAAGGAUUGCUAAAAUGAGAGGUAACUCAAGCAUCUGAUGCUUACUGCCAUGUUCUCUCUAGACCUCCUAACACAGAAGAAACACACUCUACAAAUUCAGCAGUCCUGGCAGAAGGAUGGAGUUCUACAUAACAUGUUCAUUAAACUAGUAUUUAUAUGUCCACUAUGUAAACGUGAUAUAUCAUUCCCCAGCUCUAAGGCAGCUACAUGAUAUAUAUGUACAUUCACCUAAAGCCUCAGCUUUAUGAGCUGUAUUCCUUGGAGAUACCUGCAGCUCCAACAACUAGGUACACAGUCAAUAAUUACUUUCAUCUUUCUCCUUUUAUUUACUCUUUAAGAGAUUCAUUAAGAUGAAGAAUAACUGCAUUGCUUUGCUAAGUCUUUUUGAUUACUUUCCUAAUUCAUUUAUCAUGAACUUUGGAACUAUUAGUUUAGUUUUCACCUUCUAGUCAUCUAGAAUCUUGUUUUAUUUAAACAAAGUUCUGCAUCCUCACUGGUUUUCUUAAAAUAGGCCCUUUGGCUUGCACACUAUUUAUUAGAAGUGACACAUGGUAAAAUUUUUCUUUUAUAAAGGUACACAAAAGUGUAAUGUACAUGGUUAUAGAGAGUUGCUAUUUGUGCUUAAAACUGGUACUGGAUCACUCACAAAAUUUCUUCAAUGUCUAUUCAAUGCUAUAGUCUCAAAUCCCUUCACAAAGGGGAACACUAAAAAACAAAUGGUGGAGAGUAUGUACCACAAGCCAGGCCAAGUUCCAGGUGCCAUUGAACACACCAGGGCAUUUAAUUUUCUCAGCAACCCUGCAAAGUAGGUAAUACUACAUCUACUUUAGAGAUAAAGAAGUUGUGGCUCAAAAAGAAUGGUGACUUACUCAAGUUCAUGCAGUAAGUACUGGGCUUAGAAUAACUGCAUUAAGUGGCUGGUGCCUUGUUCUGUUGACCUCUCUUCUCCCCUUUCCUAAUCCUAAGUACUCGAGAGUUUACCAUAUGCUAGAUAUAUAUGUAAGUCACUUGAAAGAGAUAAAGGCAAAGGUCCACAUCACUUACACUUCUCUCUUCCUUUAGCUUUUCCUCAAAAGAUACCUACUGGGUACCUCUUACUCAUCACAGACAUUAAUACAACUAUAUCAACGAAAACAUUAAAUGUGAAUGGAUUACAGAAUCCAAUCAAAAGGCAAAGAUUGUUAGACUGCAUAAUAACAUAAUUCAACUACAUGCUAUCUACUGCAGACAUACUUUAGACUUAAAGGUGCUAAUAAAUUGAAAGUAAAAGGAUAGAAAUGGUUAUGUCAUGCAAACUACAUUCAUAAGAACACUGGAGUGCUAUACCACUAUCAUAUAAAAUAUACCUUAAAACCAAAAAAAAGCUAGAAAUAAAAGUAACAGUUUAAAAACAUAAAAGGGACAAUCAAGUAGAUACAAUUAUAACUAUAUGCAUAUAAUAGCAGAAUACCAAAAUACACAAAAACAGACUAAUAGAAACAGAGAGAGAAAAGAAUAACAAUAAUAGUUGCAGACUUUAAUAUCCUGACUUUGAAUAAUGGAUAGAACUAGACAGAAGAAUAACAUUUGAAUAGAUAACUUUAAUAACACUGUAAACCAACUAGACCCACAGGAUAUUCACAGAACAUUCCAUCCAACCAUAACAGAAUAUCUAUUCUUCCCAAGUUCACAUAAAACAUUCUCCAGGAUAGAGCACAUGUUCAGCCAUAAAACCAACUGCAGUAAAUUAAAAACAAAAAUAAUAUAAAGUGUAUUAUUUGACCACCAUGGAAUGAAAUUAGAAAUCAAUAACAGGAAAAAUUUUGAUAAACUCACAAAUAUGUGAAAAUUAAACAGCACAUGCCUAAAUAAUCAGUAGGUUGAAAAGGAAUAAAUUGCAAAGUCAAAAAUAUUUUGAGAUUAAUCAAAAUGAACAUACAACAUAUCAAAAUGUGUGUGAUGCAGCUCAAGCAAUGCUUAAAGGAAAAUAUGUAGCUGUAAAUGCCUAUAUUAAGAAAGAAGAUAUCAAAUCACAUAACCUUUCACCUUAAGUUCCUGGAAAAAGAAGAGCAAACUAAGUCCAAAGCAAGCAAAAUAAACUAAAUAAUUAUUAUAAUUAAAGAAAUAGAGAAUUGAAAAAUAAAACAGAAAACUUAAUAAAACCAAAAGUUGGCUCUUUGACAAAAUCGACAAAAGCGAUAAAGUAUUAGCUAUUAAUACACUGACCACAAUACAAAGGAGAAGCAGCAAAUUGCUAGAAUCAUAGAUGAAAAAGGGGACAUUACUAAUGACCCUACAGAAAUAAGAGACUAUAAAAGAAUACUAUUAAAAAUUGUAUACCAGUAAAUUAGUUAAAUUAGAUGAAAUGAAGAAAGAGACAAACUAGUGAAAAAGACUCCAGAAGAAAUAGACAAUCUGAAAUGACAUAACAAGAGAAUAGACUGAAUAGCGCAAAACACUACCCACAAAGGAAAGCUUUAGGCCUAUAUACUGUAUUCUAUCAAACACUUAAAGAACAAUUGAUACCAAUUCUUAUCAAACAUUUCAAAAAAAAUGGAAGAGGAGAAAACACUUCUCAGUUCAUUUAAUGAGUCCAGCAUUGCCCUCAUACCAAAACCAGACUAAAACAUUACACAAAAUGAAAACUAUAAAUAUGGAUGCAAAAACCAACAAAAUAUUAGCAAACAAAAUCUAGCAACAUAGCAAAAGAAUCAUACAUCAUAACCAAAUGCUGCAAAGCUAAUUUAAUAUCUGAAAAAAUACUUCAUAUCUAUAGAAUAAAAAACAAAAAUUAGACGAUCAUGUUAAUAGAUUAAGAAAAAGCACUUGGCAAAAUCCAGCAUCAUUUCAUGAUAAGAACAUUCAACAAACUAGUAAUAGAUAAGAACUUUCUCAACCAUCAGGUUGAGGUUUAUCAAAAUGGCAUCUACAAAAACAUGUAGCUAACUUAUAAUACUUAAUGGUGGAAGAUUUAAUGCUUUUCCCUAGUAUCAGAAACAAGACAAGGAUGUUGAAGCUUACCAACUCUAUUCAACAUUGUACUGAAGAUUCUAGCCAGGGCAACAAGGCAAGAGAACAACUGGCUUAUCAGACAUUAAAAUGCAUUGGUGUGAGCUGCAAUGAACAUUUAAUGUAAGUUGUUGGCUCUUUGAGAAGACAAUCAUUUUAGAACUAAAAUUCUACUCCAAAACACAAAUUUCCCAAACUAAUCCCAACCCAACUUUAAUUUUAACUGAUUUUGCAUGCCCUCAUCAGUACUUUAUCCAUUCAGCAAAUAUAGAUCUAUACUAUAAUUUAAUACUUUUACCCAAGCUGUUUUCUUCCUUCUAUUGUAUUUCUAUUGAACAGAAGCUAUUACCUACAUUUUUUCAUAAUCCCACAGUUGAAUAAAUGAAUUAAAAUGUUAUGAUCUCAGCUUACCAUUUUGCAUAUUCUUGAAUUUACAGAAAACCUCUUUAAAUUUAUACAGCUUCGCUUUCUCUAAAAGUAAAAGGUAAGCACUCUUUUCAUCACUCAAGUGCUCCUUUUUUCCUUAAGCACCAGUGUCUCAGAAUCUGCACUCAGCCAAAAGUGUAUAAAAGAAAUACCAUCUAUUGAGUUCCGUAAUAGUUAAUGUGCUUCAUUUAUUUUAUAAUGAAAAUGAGAAACUUAUGCUUAGUAUUGAGCCUGUCAUUUAAAAAUAUUUGUUGAAUGGAUACUAUAUGUAGAAUCUAUACUAAACCCCCUAAAAUAUCAAAUACUAUAAAAAUAGUAAUAAUAAAAAUAAACCAGGGAAUAUGAAGAACUCAAUAGACUGACGGAUACCAAUAUGGGAUGUAUCACAAAGCUGUGAUGUGAUUUGAGCCAAGUCACAUAAUCCCUCUUUCAAUUCCCUUUUCUGAGAAAAGGGAUUGUCUGUCUCAGGGAUGGUAAAGAAAUUUCAUCUCAAGUGUCAAAUCCAGUUGAUUGGUAAUGAUGCCUUGAGUUGUGGAAAGAAAUAUGAGGCUCAGUUCAGGUCCCAUAAAAGGAGUGCUAUGAUCAAUUUGUGAUGUCUGGGAACAGUCAUAAGUGAGAGUUUUGAAAAGAGCAGGUUGGCUAUUUGCCAUCUCGAAACUAUUCAUAGUCUUUAUUCAUUUUUAAUAAAAUAUUAUCUGACUCAUGCAUAACAUAAUAUCAUCUUAUAUUAAUGGUAAAAUUAUUAGUAACUUCUUUCAUUGAUUUUAACUUGCCAUUAAUUAUUGGUU